CAGUUGUUGCAUUAUUUUCCUGGUGAAUGCAAGAUCAACAAGACUGUAUCAGCUUUCCUUGGGAUGCAGGAAAGAAGACCAUAGAGAGGCAAACACGUCCCUCUGGAAAAUGUGACACCCCUCCCACAUGACCUGUGGAGUGCAGGUGGCCCUGAGAUUUACGAUCCCUUCCUGGGAGCCAAGUAAAAGCCAAGCGACCAUCAGCCUGCCCACACCACCUAUGGGAAAUGUUCCUACCUUGCACGGUUCCAACCAGGAGCCCAGGCGAUGCCCGUUGACCAUAAGAAGCUGUGUUUAUUGGCCAGGGCUGGUGGCAGGAAACCGGGGUCUGGAGCCCCAAGCACUGGGCUGGCUCUGCCUCUGCU
rnacentral:lncRNA from 1 species